AUUGAACGCUGGCGGCAUGCCUUACACAUGCAAGUCGAACGGCAGCACGGGAGCAAUCCUGGUGGCGAGUGGCGAACGGGUGAGUAAAGUAUCGGAACGUGCCCAGUCGUGGGGGAUAACGUAGCGAAAGUCACGCUAAUACCGCAUACGAUCUAUGGAUGAAAGCGGGGGAUCGCAAGACCUCGCGCGAUUGGAGCGGCCGAUAUCAGAUUAGGUAGUUGGUGGGGUAAAGGCUCACCAAGCCGACGAUCUGUAGCUGGUCUGAGAGGCCGACCAGCCACACUGGGACUGAGACACGGCCCAGACGCCUACGGGAGGCAGCAGUGGGGAAUUUUGGACAAUGGGCGAAAGCCUGAUCCAGCCAUGCCGCGUGCAGGAUGAAGGCCUUCGGGUUGUAAACUGCUUUUGUACGGAACGAAAAGGUUUGGCCUAAUAAGCUGAGCUCAUGACGGUACCGUAAGAAUAAGCACCGGCUAACUACGUGCCAGCAGCCGCCGUAA
rnacentral:rRNA from 1 species